AUUUUAGUGAAUAAAUACAUUUUUUGGAUACCAUGAAACGGUAUCAAUAUGAUAUUACACAUUGAUUUUAUUUUUGUUUAACUCAAUCAUACCGCCGUCAUCAGAGUGACAUAAUAUGCGCUACGUGGAGGUUGACGGUCGGAUUUUGCACAUUAUGUGGCUCUGAAAAGGGCCGAUUUUUUAAUUAAAAUUAAAAUUUUUUAUGUAUGUGUAUGUGUAUAUUUAUGUGUGAGUUUAUGAGUGUAGAUGAAAUGUGUAUGUUUGUAUAUAUGUCUACAUACAUGUGUGUUUGUUUAACUCUUAGGGUACUAACCUUAAAAAAGUUACGUUCAGUACUACUUGAGUUAGCGUAACCCACCAAACUUUGUGGGCUUGUAUCUUCGAAUAAAUUCAAUCAAUUUUAACGAAUUUUCUUUCAAUCGAAGGGAAAAAGACUCAGAAUUAUGAUGGUCUUGGUUAAAAAGUCGAAGAUAUUAAAAGAAGAGAUUUUUUGAAAAGAAUGAAGAAGGAACGAAAAAUUUUUGUAAAAAUUCAUUUUUUUUUCAAACGCUCGUAUUUAUUAGAAAAAAGAUAAAAUAAUUAAAAUGGUGGUCAAUGGAAAGGUAAAAAUGUGAACUUUAAGAUAAUCUUUAGUCAGAUUUUUUAUUCUGUUCUAAAACUAUAUUUUGAUGGAGACAGAAUGCCCUGGAAGGUGACGGGGACCGUGAAUACGAAAUUGAGUGAAGAUAUAAGAGCACCUUUUAUUUGUACACGCAAGCAGUUACAGAGAACAUUCGAGGGAGACGGAAUCGCGCUAGUGCUAGGUUACAAUAUGGCUGCAGGUGACGACAGAGACAGACGCGAGAUGAUCGGUAACGAACGCGCGACCGCUACGGUCGCGCCGUCUACACGCGAGUUCAUUGGUCUCCCGAAGACCUGACGGGCCAAUAAGCGUUCAUCGGCGGGGCGCUAGAUUUAAGAAGCUUCUGCCAACAUAUUUAUUUGGCGAUAUGAAAAUGUGAUAUUUUCCGAUAUUUCCUGAUGUCAUCAAAAUAAGCGUACUAUACUUGCAACAAUUUUUCGCCACGUGUUUGCGACAGAUAGGCUUAUGACACUACAAGCAUUUAUAAUACGUCUUUCCAUCCAAGGCAGAAGGACACAAUCCGCAUCUUUUCUGCUUUGACAUUUUGUUAUUUACCAGAAAAUUACGCACAUCUUGAUUUUCUGGCAGAUUUCUAGCUUCGAAGAAAUCUUUGAUCACGUUUCGCAAUUUUAACUGCAAAGACGGAAUAGCUAAUCGUCUUAUCAGAAAAGGUUUAACAAGCGCUAAACUUAAUUCAAAUAUGAAUUUUAUUCUUUUCAUUAACUCAUUGUCUUUAAUAAUAUUGUAUAAUAUAAAGCUAUUUAAACCGCACCAUGAAGACGUAUACUAUUAAAGUAAUAAACAAUACUUUAUGUUUACUUAUUUCUCACUAAAUGAUAAUAAUUUGCAUGAAACUUUACGAAAAAAUAGUUAAAACCUUUUUUAUGCAAAGUUUGAUUUUACGUAAUUCCCAAUUUUGUUACGUUCCGUACAUAACUGGGUGAAAAAUACCCGAGCGAAGAAUUGCGAUGCUUGCCCUCUAGCUCCUAAAGGCACAGUGACUCCACCAAGCGGUGGACUAAUGCUUGGGAUUUCAAAGUUUCUUCCCGCAUCCAGAUCUCCUAUCCCUCAUCGUUUAAAAACGGCACAUAUUUCAAAAUUUGUCUGGGUUUUGCUAACCCAGCUAGUAUCUUGAGGAUUAAUAGUGGGUAUUUUCUCCUCUGUCUAAUGAUCUGUUGCAAACGUUUUUUCAUGUUGAUGCAUGCUUAGAUUUUCCGUUGCGGUAUUUUAUUCGCACUAGUAGUUUUGACAGGUCAUGAAAAUUAGUUGGUGAUCUCUCCAGCCGUUGUUCCAUUAAAUUCCAGAUAUGCUCAAUGGAAUUAAGGUCUGGGCUCAUAGGAGGAUGAAGCAGAACGGUAAUCGUGUUUUGUUGAAGGAAUUAUCUGGUAAUUGCUGUGUGAGAACGUGCAUUAUUGUGCGUAAACACAUAAUUUUGUUCAAUACGACGUUUCACUGAUAGUACACGCUCAAAACUUCAUCAAUGUAGCGUAUUGCUAUUACUCCUGGUGGUGAUUAGAUGAUCAAUUAAGUGCGCCCAAUGUAUUAGAUUACCCCAUAUCAUAACAGAACCACCAUUGAAUGCAUUAAUGGGUUCUACGCAAGAACGGUUAUAAGAAUAAUUUCGACGAUGACACGAAACGUCUAUCAGAAUUGUACAGGCAAAAUGUCGAGAGUGAGUCCCAGAUGCGCACAGUAAUAAACGGACAUAGCAGGCUGAGUGGAACGGACACAGUAACAAACGGACACAGAUCAAAUGCGCACAGACUAAAUGGACACAGUAACAAACGGACACAGUCGCAAACCCAUGUGGUGCAGAGAAUGCUUUGUGCGCGCGCGCACACACACACGGUGAAGGGAGUGCAAGGGGGCUUUGCCCCCCCUCCCGCACCCAUCCUGUCGAUAGGGGUGCCUUAAAAAGUCGCAACUCAUGUGGUAAGUCCGUUUGUUACUAUGUCCGUUUGUUACUGUGUCUAUUUGGUCUGUAUGCAUUUGGUCUGUGCGCAUUUGAUCUGUGUCCGUUUCACUUAGCCUGCUGUGUUCGUUUAUUACUGUGCGCAUCUGGGACGCUCCCAAUGUCUCAUCAAUAAAAAAAACAUUGCGCGACUGCCUUUGUGAGUUCAAUUCUGAUAUGUUUUAGCACAAUGAAGACGAGCUUGACGGUGUUGUUGGGUUAGCGCUUGAACUCUGCGUGAAUGCAGAUCUGCUUCGUGUAAACGAUUUCUGACAGAUACGUCAGAAAUUCUUCCAAGAUUUAAUCCAUCAAGGUUUUAAGGCACACUUUGAGCAAGUUCUCGCACAUUAGCAUGGAUGAUUUGACGGUCUUCUCUAGGCGUAGUGAUUUGCCUCUGAUCAGAACUUUCAUGACGAUCAAAGUUUUUUUUCUUGGAAAUUUUUCCGAGCACGGGAAAUUGUAAAACGAGGAAUUUGAAGCCUAAUGGAAGUUAGUUUUCCAUUUUUUAAAUUAACAUAUUUUGACAAUUGUGCUGAAUUUUGCUAAGUUUGUGCUACAUUGUGCUCGCCUCUUAAAACCGUAAUAUAAAACAUACAAUAAAAGAAGGAAAAAAAACGAUUUUUUAAGUCAGCCCUCCACUUAGUUUUUCUCAAUUGUGCUAAUUGCUAGGUUGUGCUAAUAUUGUGCCAAAGUAUCACUUUGAAAAAAUAACAAAAAAGUUACGAUAAAAAACUAAUUUUGAGUGAUAUUUACAACAAUUGACAUUUUUACGUAUAUUGGUUAUAUGAUAAAAAUAAUAUCACAUAUUUGAGUUGUGUGCUAGGUUAGCACAACUCAGAUAUGCGAUAUUAUUCUCGUGGGAUAAUUGUAAACUCGUAAUUUGGACUUACAACUACUGCGCGAAGGGUCAAAUUCAAGAGUAAAGUGCUCUUUAUAUCGUUGUUCUGCAGAAACCGGAAGUUGUGCUGAGUUGUGCUAGGCUAGCACAACUUAGAUAUGCGAUAUUAUUUUUCUCAGAUAAUCAAUAUAUAUAAAAAUGUCAAUUGUUGUCAAAAUUACUCGAAAUUAAUUUUUUAUUGUAACUUUUUUGUUAUUUUUUCAAAGUAAUACUUUAGUACAAUGUUAGUACAACUCCCCCCCCCUUUUUUUAAACGAGGUGGGAAUGCAUUUACGCAUACCCUCGCCACCGAUGACUCACGGGCGAGGGUUAUGUGGGACUCGCGGGUUUGUGAGCGGGGAGGCUAAUUCUUUCCGCUCACGUGCAAUACCCGUACUACCCACUAAACCCACCUCGGAUGGCCAAGACUGCGUGCAAUCGCUGUCCAGCAUAACUGCCGGAGGUCCCCCCCCUCCUCCACGCAGGCGUGCCUUGCGGGCGACGCACUUUCUCCGGGGAGACAGGGCGGACACUUAACGACCCCCCCCCCCCCCCCCGAUCGGUUUGCCCCGUUGGUAAAGGGACGGACGGACUCGCGCGGCCAUCGAGCGGGACGAAGGGGGGAGAGACAACACGCCAUCUUCCCCGUCGCCACUACUCUCUCCUUCAAGAUGGUAGGGGGGGGGAGAAGAGAAGGGGGGAAUAAUAUGUAUACCCCCCCGAGGGUUGAACUUUCUCGUCGGGAGGACCCGGGUCCGGGUCGUCUCGACGGCCCGCAUUAUGUUUGAGAGGGGGGGCCUCGGCUCGACGAAUCCCCGGAGCCGGGCCUCCCCAGCGGGCAAACGGUAUGUUUAUGGUCCAGGGGGAGGGAGGGCCUUAUCGAUUGGUCCGUCUCGAUCGUCCUCCCGGACCAAUCUCCCGGUCCGCGUCGUCUCUACGCGCGACCAACGCGCCUACGCGUCCCUCGUUUUUCGAAGGGGGACGCCUCCGACCUUAUGUUAGUACAACCUAGCACAACUUUGCACAGUUAAGAAAAUUGUGAAAAACCGAAAGUGGGAGGCUGACCUAAAAAAUAGUUUUUUUUUUCAUUUUUUAUAUUACGGUUUUAUAUUACGGUUUUAAGAGACGAGCACAAUGUAGCACAAACUUAGCACAGUUUAGCACAAUUGUCAAAAUGUUAAUUAAAAAAAUAAGAGGCUAACUUCUAACAGGCAAAUUUGAAUUUUUUUCACAACAUAACGCAUUGUAUUUUCUUCUUGUAGAAGAGCAACAAUUUGUGCACGUUGAAUUUUAGUUAAAUGCUGGCAUUUUUUAUUCGAAAUCAAAGCAUUUCAAAUCGCAAAAUCUGAUUUUCAGUAAAGACAAUCUUGUGUAAAAAAAGUUUUCUUCAAAAACAAAACAUAACUUUACCGUUUGUUAUUCAAGAUCUGAAAUUUAGUUGCUGAUUUUUAGCUUGUGAUUAUUUUAAAGUCUGUAUUUUGACUAUACGAAAACAGUCGUCAAUUUACUGUAAACAGUUUACUCUUAUACACUGAAUUUUUUAAAUUUAGUUAUUGGUUAUCUGAAUAUUAAUAAUUAAUUUUUUAGACAUCAAAAAUUUAUCAAUAAUUUUUUGUAUUAUCUGCCUUUACUUUAAGAUUACUUUACUUAAGUAAUUGGCUUUCUAAAAAUGAGCAAUUUUCUUUUUCUUGUACAACAACGAAUAAGAUUUGAAAAGUACGUAUAUGUUACGUCCUGGAGGGUGCGGGAGCGGAGCGGUAGCCAUUUUUCCCAGGAAUGUAGCUUGCUGAGGGGGAGAGUAAACGCACACGUUAUAAGGAUGUCCAUGAUUAUGGUAUGCAACGCGCGCCAGGCAGAUUCCGAAGGAUAGUUCAUAAAAAAAAUUUAGCAAAAAAAAAGAACGAUUAAAUUCUCGGUUAAUUAUUUCUCUAUGGACUUCCUUAUUUAGCGCUCUCUCUCUCUCUCUCUCUCUCUCUCUCUCUCUCUCUUUCUCUCUUUCUCUUUUUCCAUUGAUUCGAAACAAAAAGCGUAGGCCUUGCUAGGGCUCUUAAUUCUGCGCCGUGAUAAUUACAAUAUUUCUAGCGAAUUAAGUUAGAAUUAGAGUUGAGCAGGUCUGCGGAGAUUGACAUUAAAGGAAUUCGUGGGAGAAAAACGCCUUAAGAGGAUGCUGGACUGCCUCUCAAACUUGAUCGAUAAUGUAGAGUCAUUCGUGUACAUCAUUAAUGAGAUUUCGUAUAUAUAUUUUUUAUAGAUUUAGAAAUUCUUUUCCAGAAUUAAAAUACAUAUAUUAAUAUUAAUCUGUAAAUUAAACUAGUGCUCUGUUUCUAUCUUCGGACCGAUUCCUCACUCACACGUAUAUAUGAAAUUUUCUUUGAGGCUUUUUUCUUAUACCAAAGCUUCUAGCUCAUUUCUGCAAGCAUUUUAUUAUUCUUUCAUGUAAUAAGAUUAGUGCGUACUAGUUAUUUGUACGUACAGAGUCUUUAAAACUUAUGUGUUACAGAUGAAAGAUACGAGGCGACUGCACAAAAAUAUAAUUUUCUAACUUUUUUUGUUUUUUACAUAAUAUUAUAGGUAGGCACUAUUUGUUAUUGUCUAUACUUUAAUUCUGGAGGAUUUUUAAUUCUAUGAAAUCAGUAAAAAAAUAGGCCUAAUUAAAAAUAAUAACGUUCAAUCGGUAAAACAGACGACUCCAGCAUCCCCUUAAUAAGCUAACCCAUUGCCCAUGAAGUGGAAGAAAUUUUUGGGGUGAAGCGCCUUAAAAGGCAGGCUUAUUGCCGGAGUGAGAAGAAUUUGUGGAAUUAAGCGCAGCCCGUUGCUCACGGAGUGAAAGGAAUUGUGGGGUUAAGCGCCUUAAUAGGCAGCCCGCUGCCCAAGGGAUGGAGAAUUUAAUUUGAGAGAGAUCGACUUAAUCCUUUUUCCUUAUAAUUUACUUAUUCGACUGUAAGAAACUCGUGGAUAGUCAGCAUGAUGUACAUAAACAAGUAGAUGUAUAUGUGUAUAUAUAUAUAUAUAUAAGUGCUUUUGAGGAGUCCCUUUCUUGCUCUGGAAACAUUAGGAGCACUGGGGGAAAUAACCCUUUUUCCGCCCCUUUACAACUAUCUUAAUAUUAAUACUCGCGGACCGAGAACACAAAAAAGGGAAAGAAAAAAAACAAACACAAAGAAAGAGAAGCAAGAGGAAUUAUUAAUAUUUGCAGAUUUUAUUUAAAGAAGAAAUAAUAGUACUUUGUUAUAUAUAUUGUACAAGGAAUAGAAAGCAAAAGAGAAAUUCAAAUCGCGGUUGCUUAACAGUGGUGAUUUACUCGACAACGUGACUAAUAAUUUCAGUAUGCGGAUGAUUUGCUUUACAAUUACAAAUUUCCUUUUAUUGUGACGACGAUCGGAAUAAUAGUGGCAAGUGUGGUACUUACAGGACGAGAUCCUGUUAUUGGUCUCGUAAGUAAUAGUGAAUACGUAGAGUGGUACGUUCGAAUAAUAUUGAUACGGCCCAGGAUGUAUUUCGUGAGAUAACUGACAGGUUACUAGAGCGAAAAUGCUGAUGGGCAGCACGAUAAACUGCUGGAGCGAAAAUGCUGAUUUCCGCGGCUCUCGCGCUCCUUAUAUACCUCAAAACUAGGGCAGCACGACGAGCUAUUAGAGCAAAAUGCUUAUGGGCAGCACGAUAAACUGCUGGAGCGAAAAUGCUGAUUUCCGCGGCUCUCGCGUUUCUUAUAUAUCCCAAAACAGGGGGUUCUAAGGGUAUGCAGGCAUGGGAAAGCUUGAAUUCUCGGAAUUUUCCGCGACAAAUAACUUAUUUUCAAAAUUCCAUAAUUUUUAAUUUUUAUUCCGAUUGUUAUAAUUUUUGGUCAAGAGGUAGCCAGGGGGGUCAGCGUUCAGAUACUUUUUACGCCUCCCUCUUAUUACUUCUACGAGCGGAGUAAUUAAUGACAUACUUUCAUAAUUGCUCUGGCUGUUGCCAUCUCUCUCGACUGAAGCAAUGUUUAGGCUGUCGCUAUCUCUCUCAGAUAACACGCACUUCGCGGCUGAAGCAAUGCUUCAGCAGCGCGAGGGUGCCACGCGCGGACCACGUGGCUGAAUAAUAAUAGAAUUAUUCUAAAUUAUUAUAGUGAGAGAGUGAAAGCGUGAUUGCAAUAGAUUAUAACUUGUAAUAAUUAGCGAGAAAGCGUGAGCAGUGUCGAUCCGCACCCUGACAGCUCUAAUAAAAAUUAAUAAA